GGAGCUUGCUCUGUGGGAUCAGUGGCGAACGGGUGAGUAACACGUGAGCAACCUGCCCCUGACUCUGGGAUAAGCGCUGGAAACGGCGUCUAAUACUGGAUAUGUGACGUGACCGCAUGGUCUGCGUCUGGAAAGAAUUUCGGUUGGGGAUGGGCUCGCGGCCUAUCAGCUUGUUGGUGAGGUAAUGGCUCACCAAGGCGUCGACGGGUAGCCGGCCUGAGAGGGUGACCGGCCACACUGGGACUGAGACACGGCCCAGACUCCUACGGGAGGCAGCAGUGGGGAAUAUUGCACAAUGGGCGCAAGCCUGAUGCAGCAACGCCGCGUGAGGGACGACGGCCUUCGGGUUGUAAACCUCUUUUAGCAGGGAAGAAGCGAAAGUGACGGUACCUGCAGAAAAAGCGCCGGCUAACUACGUGCCAGCAGCCGCGGUAAUACGUAGGGCGCAAGCGUUAUCCGGAAUUAUUGGGCGUAAAGAGCUCGUAGGCGGUUUGUCGCGUCUGCUGUGAAAUCCGGAGGCUCAACCUCCGGCCUGCAGUGGGUACGGGCAGACUAGAGUGCGGUAGGGGAGAUUGGAAUUCCUGGUGUAGCGGUGGAAUGCGCAGAUAUCAGGAGGAACACCGAUGGCGAAGGCAGAUCUCUGGGCCGUAACUGACGCUGAGGAGCGAAAGGGUGGGGAGCAAACAGGCUUAGAUACCCUGGUAGUCCACCCCGUAAACGUUGGGAACUAGUUGUGGGGUCCAUUCCACGGAUUCCGUGACGCAGCU
rnacentral:rRNA from 1 species